AUUGAACGCUGGCGGCAUGCUUUACACAUGCCAGUCGAACGGCAGCGCGGGCUUCGGCCUGGCGGCGAGUGGCGAAUGGGUGAGUAAUGCAUCGGAACGUGCCCAGUAGUGGGGGAUAGCCCGGCGAAAGCCGGAUUAAUACCGCAUACGACCUGAGGGUGAAAGCGGGGGACCGAAAGGCCUCGCGCUAUUGGAGCGGCCGAUGUCGGAUUAGCUAGUUGGUGGGGUAAAGGCUUACCAAGGCGACGAUCCGUAGCUGGUCUGAGAGGACGACCAGCCACACUGGGACUGAGACACGGCCCAGACUCCUACGGGAGGCAGCAGUGGGGAAUUUUGGACAAUGGGGGCAACCCUGAUCCAGCCAUGCCGCGUGCGGGAAGAAGGCCUUCGGGUUGUAAACCGCUUUUGUUCGGGAAGAAAUCCUCUGGGCUAAUACCCCGGGGGGAUGACGGUACCGGAAGAAUAAGCACCGGCUAACUACGUG
rnacentral:rRNA from 1 species